UGGAAACAUUAGCAGAUAUAUCUCAAAAUAGCACCUUCAUCUGACACUGUGAUUUAUAAUACCCUGUUUGUGCAGAGUGAUUUAUCGUUUUAACAUAUUCAGCAGUUAGUUAACUUUACCAGGCCCCAAACGUACAGUUGCUGGUAUUUUCACUUCAUUUUUCCCUCGUGAGCACAACAAGGAUGUCUCAUUCCCAAACUAUUUUCGCCACGUCGUUCUCAUCUUAGAAGAAAGAAAAGAAAUCCGCGGCAUUAACCCCUACACGAUGGUGUGUUGACCUGUUACUGACAGCCGGGUCUGCUAUGAUAAACAAUGCCCUGAGCUGGCUGGAGAGCUGGAGAGGAAUUGGAAGGCAGCCGAACCCACCCGGAGUUUGCUCACUCAUAACCAAAUUCAUAAUUUUAAAUACAGCUGGUCACCAUAGGUCAGCACACUGGCCUGAUAUUCUGUUUACUCUUUCAAGAGGAUCUGUGCAGAGCUAUCCUUUUAUCUAAGAAAUAUUGCUCAGCAUGGCUCAGAGAUAAUAAACUUUACUGGGAAGCCACAGGGGCUGAUUUGUCCCCGGAAACCUGCUCUUUCAAAGUUUUGCUGUGUUUUAUUGGAAAGUCACUGAGUUGGUACUUAUUCCUCCAGAUAUAAUCUUUCUCUAAAUAACCACCCAACAAUAUGUGGUUAUAGAUGACUGACAGGAUGUAAUGAGAACAUUUGUUUGCUCAACCNNNNNNNNNNNNUUUUUCCUAAGAAAGAAAUGUAAAACUAAAUAAUUCAUAUAACAUUACCA
rnacentral:lncRNA from 1 species